CUCUGGGCUCGCAACGUAGCCCAGGGCGGAAAGAG
rnacentral:ncRNA from 1 species